rnacentral:tRNA from 1 species
GGGGCAGUAGCUCAAUUGGGAGAGCGCAUCCAUGGCAUGGAUGAGGCCAGGGGUUCGACCCCCCUCUGCUCCACCA